rnacentral:rRNA from 1 species
GACGAACGCUGGCGGCGUGCUUAACACAUGCAAGUCGAACGGAAAGACCCCUUUCUUGCUACUCGAGUGUCGAACGGGUGAGUAACACUUGAGUAACCUGCCCUUGCCUUUGGGAUAACUUCAGCAAACUGGGGCUAAUACCAAUAAGGAAUCCUUUCUUCAUGGGGGUGGUUGGAUAGCUUCGGCGGUUUUUGCUGUCUUUGCUGCUUAUCUGCUUGCUGCUGUGGUUGUGGCUUACCAAGGCUUUUUCGGGUAGCCGGCCUGAGAGGGCGACCUGCCACACUGGGACUGAGGUACGGCACAGAUUCCUACGGGACGCAGAAGUGGGGAAUCUUGCAGAAUGGGCGGAGGCCUGAUGCAGCAACGCCGCGUGCGGGAUGACGGUGUUAGGGUUGUAAACCGCUUUCAGCAGGGGCGAAGCUUGUGGUGACGGUACCUGAAGAAGAAGCACCGGCUAACUACGUG